AGAAGCCCAGUUCUACUCUUGUGUUUCAGAAGCUCAGUUCUACUCUUGUGUUUCAGAAGCCCAGUUCUACUCUUGUGUUUCAGAAGCCCAGUUCUACUCUUGUGUUUCAGAAGCCCAGUUCUACUCUUGUGUUUCAGAAGCCCAGUGCUCCUCUUGUAUUUCAGAAGCCCAGUUCUCCUCUUGUAUUUCAGAAGCCCAGUUCUACUCUUGUUUCAGAAGCCCAGUCUCCUCUUGUUUCAGAAGCCCAGUUCUCUCCUCUUGUUUCAGAAGCCCAGUUCUACUCUUGUGUUUCAGAAGCCCAGUUCUACUCUUGUGUUUCAGAAGCCCAGUUCUACUCUUGUGUUUCAGAAGCCCAGUUCUACUCUUGUGUUUCAGAAGCCCAGUUCUACUCUUGUGUUUCAGAAGCCCAGUUCUCUGCUCUUGUUUCAGAAGCCCAGUUCUCUCCUCUUGUUUCAGAAGCUCAGUUCUCUCCUCUUGUUUCAGAAGCCCAGUUCUCUCCUCUUGUUUCAGAAGCCCAGUUCUCUUCUCUUGUUUCAGAAGCCCAGUUCUCUUCUCUUGUUUCAGAAGCCCAGUUCUCUACUCUUGUUUCAGAAGCCCAGUUCUCUUCUCUUGUUUCAGAAGCCCAGUUCUCUCCUCUUGUUUCAGAAGCCCAGUUCUCUUUUCUUGUGUUUCAGAAGCCCAGUUCUCUUUUCUUGUGUUUCAGAAGCCCAGUUCUCUACUCUUGUAUUUCAGAAGCCCAGUUCUCCUCUUGUAUUUCAGAAGCCCAGUUCUACUCUUGUUUCAGAAGCCCAGUUCUACUCUUGUGUUUCAGAAGCCCAGUUCUCCUCUUGUUUCAGAAGCCCAGUUCUCUCCUCUUGUUUCAGAAGCCCAGUUCUCUCCUCUUGUUUCAGAAGCCCAGUUCUCUCCUCUUGUUUCAGAAGCCCAGUUCUCUGCUCUUGUUUCAGAAGCCCAGUUCUACUCUUGUGUUUCAGAAGCCCAGUUCUACUCUUGUGUUUCAGAAGCCCAGUUCU
rnacentral:lncRNA from 1 species